UUGGAGGGCAAGUCUGGUGCCAGCAGCCGCGGUAAUUCCAGCUCCAAUAGCGUAUAUUAAAGUUGUUGCAGUUAAAAAGCUCGUAGUUGAAUUUCGGGAUUGACGUGAUGGUCAUGCCUUAAGGGGUAUGAACUGUCACAGUUGAUUUCUCACCUUCUGGAGAAACUUGAUGUCCUUUAUUGGGUGUCAUGCGGAUCCAGGACCUUUACCUUGAAAAAAUUAGAGUGUUUAAAGCAGGCAUUUUUGCUCGAAUACAUUAGCAUGGAAUAAUAGAAUAGGACGGCAUGGUUCUAUUUUGUUGGUUUCUAGGAUCACCGUAAUGAUUAAUAGGGAUGGUUGGGGGCAUUAGUAUUCAAUUGUCAGAGGUGAAAUUCUUGGAUUUAUUGAAGACUAACUACUGCGAAAGCAUUUGCCAAGGAUGUUUCCAUUAAUCAAGAACGAAAGUUAGGGGAUCGAAGACGAUCAGAUACCGUCGUAGUCUUAACCAUAAACUAUGCCGACUAGGAAUCAGACGAUGUUAAUUUUUUAAUGACUCGUUUGGCACCUUACGGGAAACCAAAGUGUUUGGGUUC
rnacentral:rRNA from 1 species